CAGUCGCCGCGGGAACACGGAGGGAGCUAGCGUUGUUCGGAAUUACUGGGCGUAAAGCGCGCGUAGGCGGUUACUCAAGUCAGAGGUGGAAGCCCGGGGCUCAACCCCGGAACUGCCUUUGAAACUAGGUGACUAGAAUCUUGGAGAGGUCAGUGGAAUUCCGAGUGUAGAGGUGAAAUUCGUAGAUAUUCGGAAGAACACCAGUGGCGAAGGCGACUGACUGGACAAGUAUUGACGCUGAGGUGCGAAAGCGUGGGGAGCAAACAGGAUUAGAGACCCGUGUAGUCCCUGUCUCUUAUAC
rnacentral:rRNA from 1 species